UCAGCAAAAAUAAAACGUCACGAAACAUCAAACAUUCACAGAAAUAUCACAGGUAACAGUCUACAAGUAACAGUCUGCAGGUAACAGUCUACAGGUGUGCACUGAGGGCAGGUAAUAGUCUACAAGUAACAGUCUACAGGUAACAGUCUACAGGUAACAGUCUACAGGUGUGCACUGAGGGCAGGUAACAGUCUACAAGUAACAGUCUACAGGUAACGGUCUACAGGUGUGCACUGAGGGCAGGUAACAGUCUACAAGUAACAGUCUACAGGUAACAGUCUACAGGUGUGCACUGAGGGCAGGUAACAGUCUACAAGUAACAGUCUACAGGUAACAGUCUACAGGUGUGCACUGAGGGCAGGUAACAGUCUACAAGUAACAGUCUACAGGUAACGGUCUACAGGUGUGCACUGAGGGCAGGUAACAGUCUACAAGUAACGGUCUACAGGUGUGCACUGAGGGCAAGUAAAAGUCUACAAGUAACAGUCUACAGGUAACGGUCUACAGGUGUGCACUGAGGGCAGGUAACAGUCUACAAGUAACGGUCUACUGGUGUGUGAACUUCAAGCAGGAGAUCAUUAAUGUGACUGGAUGUCUGGCUAUUGUGGGGGCGGGGUUUAAUGUGCAUGGGUGGG